rnacentral:rRNA from 1 species
CAAGAACCACACAGAAAAGGGAGGCAAAGGGGCCUACAGGGCUAGUAGCUUAUACGUUGUUGAACGUCCUGCCUGGACCCGGAGCCGCCCCCAUCUAAACCCUCUGCGUACCUGUCCCUUCUUGCUUCCCCCGGCAUCUCGUCGGGGGGAGGUAACAACCAAAACUCUCUGUGAAUCAAACAGCCGUCAGAAUUAUAAAACAAACAAAAGUUAAAACUUUCAACAACGGAUCUCUUGGUUCCCACAUCGAUGAAGAACGCAGCGAAAUGCGAUAAGUAAUGUGAAUUGCAGAAUUCAGUGAAUCAUCGAAUCUUUGAACGCACAUUGCGCCCCCUGGUAUUCCGGGGGGCAUGCCUGUUCGAGCGUCAUAAAAACCUCCUCCCCCUUCGGGUUUUGUUACUAUCGUUGGGGGGUUUUGGCCUAAUGGGAUAGCGAUUGGCAAUUCGUUUCCCAAUGUCCUAAAUAGACGUAGACCCGCCUCCAGAUGCGACAGCACCGAGGCCAUCAACCGUGGAGUUAUGGGAUAUAAUAGGCUUGCAGUAAAAUGCUCACCUCUCUCCACACGCCGAUGGCACGACAGUUGCAGUUGCGGGCGUAAAUUGGAGCCCUUUUCAGGACCCUUGUGGCCUAGCAUCCACCAUACAUAAUUUGACCUCGGAUCAGGUAGGGAUACCCGCUGAACUUAAGCAU